rnacentral:tRNA from 1 species
UGGGGAGUGGCCAAGCGGCAAGGCAGCGGCCUUUGGAGCCGCCUAUCGCAGGUUCGAAUCCUGCCUCCCCAG